rnacentral:rRNA from 1 species
CCAAUAGCGUAUAUUAAAGUUGUUGCAGUUAAAAAGCUCGUAGUUGAAUUUCAGGCCUGGCUGGACGGUCCGCCCUUCGGGUGAGUACUGUCUGUGGUCGGGUCCUACCUUCUGGCGAAGCGUCAUGGCCUUAACCGGCCGUGGCGGGGAACCAGGACUUUUACUGUGAAAAAAUUAGAGUGUUCAAAGCAGGCAAUCGCUUGGAUACAUUAGCAUGGAAUAAUGGAAUAGGACAAUGGUUCUAUUUGUUGGUUUCUAGGACCGUUGUAAUGAUUAAUAGGGAUAGUUGGGGGCAUUAGUAUUCAAUUGUCAGAGGUGAGAUUCUUGGAUUUAUCGAAGACUAACUACUGCGAAAGCAUUUGCCAAGGAUGUUUUCAUUAAUCAAGAACGAAAGUUAGGGGAUCGAAGACGAUCAGAUACCGUCGUAGUCUUAACCAUAAACUAUGCCGACUAGGGAUCGGAUGAUGUUAAUUUUUUAAUGACUCAUUCGGCGCCUUACG